rnacentral:lncRNA from 1 species
CCCUUCCGCCCACGCUCCAGGGCUUCCCCGGCUCCCGAGCUCCGAGCUUCCACCACAUCGGCCGGCUCAGGACAGGGCUUCCACUGUAAAGUCGGCUGCCAGACGUGUUGGAGCUCACCGAACCCAGAGUUGAUCUCUGCAGCAUGCCAUCACUGCUGGGGAUGAGGAAACGGUGAUUUCAGGACUGUUUUUUCUGUCUCUUCAGUGCCUCUUUCAGUGAUCUGAGGUUAAAACCAGAGGGACAAUCAGUGGAGCCUUCUUUCUGCCGUCUUGCUUUACUCUCACGCCCAAGAAUCAGAAUUCAGAACUUUUAAUAAGAAAAGCUUUCAGAACUCAGGAAGGACAAGGAAGACAUUCUGGUUCUCCAUGCUUAACAUUGGACUGUUUCUUCAACUGAGACUAUGGAGGAUUCAUCAACAGACCAGGAAGCAACAGCCUGGGCUCCAGAAUUGACCAGUAGUCCGUGCACAGACGAGGAGAGGUCCCAUGAAACUUCGGCGCAGUCUGGGAACCGAGCUCUUUUUGUAACAAGUUGUUUGUCAGGAGGCCCGGUCAUGAAAGCCCUUCCUGACUGGGCUCAAGGAAUACAAAAAGGACAACUUGUUUUUGCCAUUGUCUGUUGUUUUUCAAUAACUAGUUCUCCGAAACAGCACUGGAUGAAUGCCUCAAGGGGCUCACACAACUCGUUCCAGGACUUAGUGACCAUUGUUUCUGUCCCUGUUCAAUAGAGUUCAAAUUUAAUAUUUAAAUUUUGCUCCACAAUGUGCCAUAUUAUCUGUAUCCAACCUGUCAUUGGGCAUUUAGGUUGAUUCCAUGUCUUUACUAUUGUGAAUAAUGCUGCAAUAAACAUUUACGUGCUUGUGUCUUUAUGAUAGAACAA